rnacentral:rRNA from 1 species
UACAGAGGUCUCAAGCGUUGUUCGGAUUCAUUGGGCGUAAAGGGUGCGUAGGCGGCGCGGUAAGUCGGGUGUGAAAUCUCGGGGCUUAACUCCGAAACUGCAUUCGAUACUGCCGUGCUUGAGGACUGGAGAGGAGACUGGAAAUUUACGGUGUAGCGGUGAAAUGCGUAGAUAUCGUAAGGAAGACCAGUGGCGAAGGCGGGUCUCUGGACAGUUCCUGACGCUGAGGCACGAAGGUCAGGGGGAGCAAAACGGGG